GUUUAGCAUCUGACUCUUGAUUUCGGCUUAGGUCAUGAUCUCAUGGUUUGUGAGUCUGAGUCCUGCA